CGGGCUCAUAACCCGAAGGUCGUAGGUUCAAAUCCUGCCCCCGCAACCA
rnacentral:tRNA from 1 species